CCAGGCAGGAGCGUGUGGCACUGGGGACAGAGCUGCCUGCUCUGCCUGCUUCCCCCGCCUCGGGCCCACCCUGCCAGAGCCGGCACGGAGCGGCCCUUUCGGGAUGCGCCGGUCCUCAGUGAGCGGAGAGGGGCUUUUGUGCCUCUGGAGUGGGAACGAGGGGCUGCGGUGGGCCCAGCAGCCGAGGGGUUAACCUUUCCCUGUUGGGAGUGCAGGAUUUUGGCCCAGCUAGGGCAGAUCGUGGAGGCACCACUUAAUAGGGAUUUGCUGGAAGGGGGGCUGAACUUCACGGGCUGGGGGUGUAGCUGAGGUGGGUGCAGAGCUGGGGCUCGCUGUGGAUGGGGGGGGGGCCCCCCAAACUUUGUUGGCAGCCCUGGCCCCUCGCCCUGCCUGUGGGGCUGCCUGGGUAGUGCCCGUACCCUUCGUUCGGGCAUCGCCUCCAGAUUCCAGGUUCCCAGACACCUGCCCAAAGCCACUGCGAUGAUCCUGACGGAAGGAGCUGCUUUACCCUGCUGCCAGCCUGGGAAAUCCUGGGAUGGUGAUCCUGAACGGGGCAGGGAAGAGUCUGAAACAGAAGGUGGGACUUCAGCAGCAGCCGUCUCCCUUUGGAGGAAUAUGCACCCUUCCAGCGGUGGCUGUGUCGUGCCUUGCCGGAUUCCCCGGCCGGUGCCAAUCCCUGCCAAACAGAGAGAUGCUGCGUGGGAGCCCUGGGGAUGCCGCCGGGUCAGCCGACGCUGCGCUCUGCUCCUCUCCCUAUUUAUACACCACUUUCUAACAGCUCUCCGUAUCAUGCAAACACUGCUGACGUUCACCCUGAAGGUGGCUGCUCCGUCGGUGCCGGAGGAAUAAACGCCUGUGCCUGCGAUCCAUAUGUGGAUGCGAGACCAUAUGGAAACCUUGGCUCAAACAGGGCGCCUGAAGCUGCAGCUGGAACGCGUUCAACGCCCAGUAUACAUCAGCCUUGGAGGGACUCAGCGCAAUGGCAUGUGGUCAUGAAAUGAAAGACUGUGUCACAGGGCAUAUGCGGGAGACGGUAGAAUUAAAAGCACAGGGAGCGGCAAGGCUUAA